rnacentral:lncRNA from 1 species
GACAACUCGCGGGGAUUGUUUUCCACACCGUGGAAGCUUUGUUCUUUUCGUUUUUUGCAAUAAAUCUUGUUGCUGCUCGCUUUUUGGGUCCACAUUGCUUUUAUGAGCUGUACCACUCACCGUGAAGAUCUGCAGCUUCACUUCAGAGCCUAGCGAGACCACAAGCUCACUGAGAGGAACAAACAACUCCAGACGCGCUGUCUUAAGAGCUAUAACACUCACCGCGAAGGUGUGCAGUUUCACUCCUGAGCUAGUGAGACUACGAAGCCACUGGAACGAAGAAACUCCAACCACGUUUGAACAUCAGAAGGGGCAGACUCCAGACGCUUCAUCUUAAGAGCUGUAACACUCACUGUGAAGGUCUGCAGCUUCACUCCUGAGCCAGCGAGACCACGAACCGAUCUGAACAUCAGAAGGGACAGACUCCAGAUGCCCCACCUUAAGAGCUGUAAUACUCACUGCAAGGGUCUGCAGCUUCAUUCUUGAAGUCAGACCAAGAACCCAGCAAUUCCCAACACACAGGGACCAGCUUCUUUCCUAACUCACUUAGGCUCUUCGUGCUGCUCUGGCAACUAACACCCUUGGCUGCAGGGGCUUGGACACUACCCUUAGUCACUGACAAUUGUGUGAAGGCUGCUGUCGUUAACUUCACUUGAUCACCUUAGGCUCCUGUGAAGUGGUGAGCAAUUCAAACAAAUUCCUGUCGUCAAAUCAUAAUCCUGAUUUUGUUUGGAAGGACAGCGUGCCUGGUUCCAGGUGUUCAGCUGCAUUGGCGCCAGAGCACCAAUGGGGCAAGAGAAUCCUCUGGAGAAGUUUUCUGUGAUCUCAUCACAGGAGUAGCCCAGAGGAACAGCCCAGGGCCUGGGGCCUAGGAUGGGUGGACCAGGCCAUGCAGCUGGUUGGGGGCUUGACCCCCACUCAAAAAGACAGGAGAGAGAAGGGGAAUGGCUGUAAGCAGUGAAGCUCCUCUUUGAACACUGUAGAAGGUUCCCAUCCUGGCACAGGCAUGGAUAUACAUCUUUCCACACCAAUAGACCUUGUUUUCCGAUGUAGCAUUAUUUUUCAUAGUUGGCGAAUAUACAGUUAUGGAUUCAUAACAGCAAGAUGGAGAAAUUGCACUGCAGAGAAAUCUUUAAAAGCAAUUACCUAAUACUGCAGAUUGCUGAACUGUACCCACACCCAAGACUGAGCAUUGGAUCAAUCCAGAAUAUACAUCAGGUGUUCUGCAAUGUCUGCCUAAAACCAUGACUCUGCCUCCUCCAGCUGUUGCUACAUCUCACUAUGGGUUUCCUGUGACAUUUUGAGCAAGUAUGCCUCUGUGACUGGGGUUCUUACACUCCAGAAUGGAUGAGAAGCACCGUAAGUGGCUUUUAAAAUGAAUAUUCCCUGGCCCUUCAGUCGCUCUAUAGGUCAAGAAUCUGAAUUCUCAACCUGUCUAGAAGGUUCUGGUUUUAAUGGUCUGUGGGCUGCACAUUGAGAAACCUGUUCAGCGAGUGCAACAAAGGUUCCACAUGUGAGAAAGGAAGCAUCAGGUCUCUUGAGCCUGUUCUUUAAUCUGUAGGCUGCACCUUCUCUUUAAAUUCUGCUAAUAACACCAUGCGAGAAAACACCCGAGCUUGAAAAGCCCAUGUUCCAACAUAACUGUCCUUCACCACUCUGGAAAAUUAAUGGUUUGUUUCGAUUAUCCCUUUGUUAAACUCCAAAGUCAAAGAGCUCUGAAAGGCAUACGGUUAUUUUAAGUUUCAGGUGAUUUCUGUUGCCAAAUAUUUUAAAAAUUUAAAAUUGCUACGUGACCUCUUAGUAGUACUAUUAGAUUUCCUGACAAUAAAAAUAAGUCUUUUGGUUUCACCAUUUAUAGUUAGUACAGCUAAUAUUAAGUAUAAUUUUAAAAGCCUUUUAUUUUCUCAGAAAGAAAAAAUAAUCAAAAUCUGCUCAGUGUGGUAUUGAAUAAUUAAAAACAAAAGAACAGUAUCUUCACAUUAGUGUUUAAUAUUAAUUGCUUUUUUACCCUUGACACUGGUGCUAAUUAAAUUUUCAUUUUAUUUUCCAUGACUUGUUUAAACAGUUUUUGCAAAUUAUUGCUAAUCAGCCUAAUAAAACUGAAUCACCUAUUAAACAAUUUUGUUUUGAAUUAAAUGGCAUUAAAAUAA